rnacentral:rRNA from 1 species
AGAGUUUGAUCAUGGCUCAGGAUGAACGCUGGCGGCGUGCUUAACACAUGCAAGUCGAACGAAGCACUUUGAAAGCUUGCUUUCAAAGUGACUGAGUGGCGGACGGGUGAGUAACGCGUGGGUAACCUGCCUUAUACAGGGGGAUAACAGUUGGAAACGACUGCUAAUACCGCAUAAGCGCACAGUGCCGCAUGGCACAGUGUGAAAAACUCCGGUGGUAUAAGAUGGACCCGCGUCUGAUUAGCUAGUUGGUGAGGUAACGGCUCACCAAGGCGACGAUCAGUAGCCGGCUUGAGAGAGUGAUCGGCCACAUUGGGACUGAGACACGGCCCAAACUCCUACGGGAGGCAGCAGUGGGGAAUAUUGCACAAUGGGGGAAACCCUGAUGCAGCAACGCCGCGUGAGUGAAGAAGUAUUUCGGUAUGUAAAGCUCUAUCAGCAGGGAAGAUAAUGACGGUAUCUGACUAAGAAGCCCCGGCUAACUACGUGCCAGCAGCCGCGGUAAUACGUAGGGGGCAAGCGUUAUCCGGAUUUACUGGGUGUAAAGGGAGCGUAGGCGGCUUGGCAAGUCUGAUGUGAAAGCCCAGGGCUCAACCCUGGGACUGCAUUGGAAACUGUCAGGCUAGAGUGCAGGAGAGGUAAGUGGAAUUCCUAGUGUAGCGGUGAAAUGCGUAGAUAUUAGGAGGAACACCAGUGGCGAAGGCGGCUUACUGGACUGUAACUGACGCUGAGGCUCGAAAGCGUGGGGAGCAAACAGGAUUAGAUACCCUGGUAGUCCACGCCGUAAACGAUGAGUACUAGGUGUCGGGGGUUACCCCCCUCGGUGCCGCAGCUAACGCAUUAAGUACUCCGCCUGGGGAGUACGCUCGCAAGAGUGAAACUCAAAGGAAUUGACGG